rnacentral:rRNA from 1 species
GUGGGGAAUCUUGCGCAAUGGGCGAAAGCCUGACGCAGCCAUGCCGCGUGAAUGAUGAAGGUCUUAGGAUUGUAAAAUUCUUUCACCGGGGACGAUAAUGACGGUACCCGGAGAAGAAGCUCCGGCUAACUUCGUGCCAGCAGCCGCGGUAAUACGAAGGGGGCUAGCGUUGCUCGGAAUUACUGGGCGUAAAGGGCGCGUAGGCGGACAGCUUAGUCAGAGGUGAAAGCCCAGGGCUCAACCUUGGAAUUGCCUUUGAUACUGGCUGUCUUGAGUUUGGGAGAGGUGAGUGGAACUCCGAGUGUAGAGGUGAAAUUCGUAGAUAUUCGGAGGAACACCAGUGGCGAAGGCGGCUCACUGGCUCGAUACUGACGCUGAGGUGCGAAAGCGUGGGGAGCAAACAGGAUUAGAUACCCCAGUAGUCC